GGCUGGGAGGAGGGGUGGGUCUGGAUUGGUGCCCACCCUUCAGAGCCCGGCCUCUCCCCCUUCCGGAGUUCCACACAGCUUCUGGAUACCGAUGGAAAGCCUGUGAGAGUUUCCCUACAAGCAGGAGCAGAUCCAAGUUCUGUUACCCUAAUUUUAUUGCUCCUAUAGGAUAAAUAAAGGGGAAUUCUCGUGGAUGUAAAGCCCAGAGUACUGAGGCAAUGAAUUCCACAAAUCUCAGGCUGAGGGAGCAGAUGAAACCAUGACAAGGAUGUCAGUGUGGAAGCAGCAGGGCUAUGGAUCAGCACCUCGAGGACAGGAUUUUAAAGACCGGGCCUCUAGAACUACAGUCUGGAACCUGAAGGCCCAUCAUACAUUUACCCCCUUUCCGAAGCCUUUGUAACAUAUGCUUAUAUGUGUGUCUUUCCUGCUGCAUUAUAAAUGUAAUCUGGGCUGGA